ACCGGAGUGAACGCACCACUGGUGUUCGGGUUGUCAUGCCAAUGGCAUUGCCCGGUAGCUAAGUGCGGAAAAGAUAAGCGCUGAAAGCAUCUAAGCGCGAAACUUGCCUCAAGAUGAGUCUUCCCUGGACCUUUAAGGUCCCUGAAGGAACGUUUAAGACUAAGACGUUGAUAGGCUGGGUGUGUAAGUGCAGCGAUGCAUUGAGCUAACCAGUACUAAUGAUCCGUGAGGCUUAACCUUACAACACCGAAGGUGUU
rnacentral:rRNA from 1 species